CUCGCGGGCCUCAGGGCGUGAGGGCGGGGAAGGCCCGGCCCGGCCCCGGCUCGAGCGGUGGGGAAAGCGCGAGGGACGGAAAUGGCAGCACCUGGGAAUUCGGGCUUCUGGGCACGCCUCGCGUGUGGAUCCUCACACGUUUUCUGGUCCUGAUGGUGCAGAGACACUGGCAGGAAUGGAGACCUGGUCAAGACAAAGUCUUAAAUAAUGCAAGUGAAGACUCAGAGUAGUGUGUCCCUGCUCUCUUAAAAGCAGACUCCUGUAAUGUAGCUCUGCUUUCUGAUGCAAAUGCAGGAAGAACAAAAAAAAAGCGUCUGGGUUUGAUGAUGUUGCAUUUCUUCAUAAAAGAGUCAGCAGCCAGUUUGUUGAGAGUAUUGGUAUAAGAGACAGGCAUUUGUGUUUCAAGUCACUUGUGUCUUACAAGUUUGAAAUACAGAUAAAACCCAAGUUAUUUUUGGUUCUGGGAAUGGGCUAUAGUCUGUUAAGAGUAGAAACACUAGGAUCAAACAUCUGUGUUCAUCUGUAUUGUCUGUGGUUCUGUGUCAUGGAUUUUCUCAGCAGACUUUCCCCAGGUGCCAAAAUCAGUGCCAAGAGCCUGACUGGUUGGGAAUGUGCCAUAAAUAUGGGAUUUCAAUGCAGAUUGUUUGUGUGGAUCUUGACUCUCAGGUGUAAAGUUUCCACUUUGCAGUAUCCUGAGUAUAAGUCAGCAGAAAGGAGACUAGACAAAACCAUUUCUCAGUGGAAGAAAGGGAUUGCUGAACAACAGAGCAAAUCAGGAGACUGUAGAAGCAGAGUCCUAGUCCAGCUGAAACUUGUGUGCACUUGAAGUCACAACCCCCUCUAGUACUGUCAGUGCCACUCUUAACCCCCUAUACCCUGCCUGAUUUGCUGGCAUUGGAUUUUCAGAUGCCCUUAUUUGUUUGUUCAUUUAUUUAUUUGCUGUCCCUUCCAAAUCAAGUAGCAAAUUUGAAGGAGCAGUAGAUCAGUCCCUGUUGGAUACAAUUGAAAUCUCAUGGUCUUCUGUAGUCCAGGCAUACUUUAUAGUCACCUGCAGCAAGAUCCACCCCUGGAAAAACUGUGGUGUUUGAAGCUGGGUAUAUCAGUUCCAAUUGGAUUGGUUUUCAUUCCUGCUUUUUGAAGUUCUGGGCAGCUGCAAGCCUUGGCCAGCUAAGCAAAUGAGGGCAGAGGUCAUCUCCUUACCCAAGAGUCUGAAGAAGCUCAGGAGCCAUGUGUGAUCUCUACUGAUGCUGCCCUUUAAGAAAGGAUUUUGAGGUAUGGAGUCAACAUUUUGCUCCCAAUAGCUCAGGAGGCCUCUGACUAUGAGGCAAAUCCUUUUGCAGCAGAGCAGGCAAAAUGUGAUGAGACAGCCUUGGAUUCUUGUGGCAACAUGCACAUGAAAGACAGCAACAAAAAAAGCAGACUGACCAACAGAACCCACAGGAUGCCAUUUUGUGUCCUAUAAAACAUAAAUCUAAUACUUACAUUGUUGCCAUCUUGCUAAAUUUUAGUCAACCUGUCUUGAAAUACUUGGCUAUUUGGCACAUGAGGGAAAGCAGCAUAAACUAGUAAAAUCUGCCAGUAGGUCAGUUGGGGAGAAAGCAGUUUCAUUAACGCUUUUCUUUUUCUACAUUUGUUUUCCUUAUUGUUGUUUUCUUUUACUCCAAGGUAAACAAAAGCUUAAAUUACUGAACUAUUUUCUUGAUAUUUGGAAUAAAAAAUCCUGUGGUGCUUCCUUUUUGUACUCUAGCAGUGGCUUUUCUAUUUUCCAGGAGUUUGUAGUAAAAUGACCUGCAUUUUACUGUACAAAUGUUCCUUGUACUACCCACAUUAAAGUUCUGGUGGGUGUUGUGUGAUGA